rnacentral:lncRNA from 1 species
CGAUGAACAGUACGUAAAAAAAGGGUACGAGUGAUAGACAAUUGCAACUAGGAGAAUACAUGAGCGUAGUUGAAUGGAUUGACAGGCACGUAGACGCAGCUGCAGCCAGAGAACACGGUCGGAAGAAAUUGAAAAGAAAAGAAAACGCUACUAUACGUAGGUAUGAUGAGUAGACGGCCAUGUCAAUGGCGAUUCGAGCAUGAGAUGAACAGUACGUAGCAGCCUGCAGGCCAUUGCACCGCGGUUGGCUGCAGGAGCCAUCGAUCCAAGUACAGAGACAGUCACAGAUAUAGCAGCAGCAGCAGCAGAGGCAACACAUGAAAGCUAAAACAAACAAUCAAAGAAGCCCAAGAAAUCGAUUGGCAAAAUGGAAGGAGGAGAGAAAAAGAUGCAAAGAAAUGAAAAAAAAAGGAGACUGAUUGAUCGAUUCGAUUACAAGGAGUACUAACAUUAACAUACAGGUGAGAGGGGGUGAAAGGAGAGGCAAGAACUGAGAUUAAUUUAAUUAACGUCCCUAAGAGCUAAUUUAGGAGCAAGAAGGGAGAUGGCAAGAAGAGAGAUUAAUCACACGAGGAGGAGGAGGAGGGAUUGGAGGAGGAGAUGGUGGUGAGCUAGGUAGGAGAAGAACAUGGUGAUUAACCUUGUCGUCUUGGGUUGGGGGGGUGGAGGUGGAGAUCGAGGUGUGGCCGCCUCCGUGUGUAGUGGUAGCUAGAGGCUCAGGUUGAGGUCGAGCUCCUCUUGCUCCUCGCCGUUGUGGCCGUCGGCGCUGGCGAAGGUGGUGAGCGUCGUGGUGGUGCUGGUCGGGGACGGAGUGGUGGCGGCGGCCGAGGCGGUGGGGCCGUGGGAGCCUCGCCUCCAGUUGAGCAUGUCGAUCAUGUCGUCCCGCCCGGCGCCGGGCUGGUCGGGGGCCCCCAGCAUCGCGCGCCCGCUGCUGACCGCCGCCAGUAG